rnacentral:rRNA from 1 species
GACGAACGCUGGCGGCGUGCCUAAUACAUGCAAGUAGAACGCUGAAGGAGGAGCUUGCUUCUCCGGAUGAGUUGCGAACGGGUGAGUAACGCGUAGGUAACCUGCCUGGUAGCGGGGGAUAACUAUUGGAAACGAUAGCUAAUACCGCAUAAGAGUAGAUGUCGCAUGACAUUUGCUUAAAAGGUGCAACUGCACCACUACCAGAUGGACCUGCGUUGUAUUAGCUAGUUGGUGGGGUAACGGCUCACCAAGGCAACGAUACAUAGCCGACCUGAGAGGGUGAUCGGCCACACUGGGACUGAGACACGGCCCAGACUCCUACGGGAGGCAGCAGUAGGGAAUCUUCGGCAAUGGACGGAAGUCUGACCGAGCAACGCCGCGUGAGUGAAGAAGGUUUUCGGAUCGUAAAGCUCUGUUGUAAGAGAAGAACGAGUGUGAGAGUGGAAAGUUCACACUGUGACGGUAUCUUACCAGAAAGAGACGGCUAACUACGUG